CUUUGUGAACGGUGUAAUUUUCAAUCAUCUUACAAAAUAUACUUCUUCUUUUUUUUUAAGAUGAUACAUUCCUUAAGUGAUGCAAAAGACAAAAGAGAAGGCUAUUCUAAAAUCCGUCUUAUAUUUGAAUCACUGUGGUCUGUCAUAGAAAAAUCAAAAUGGUUAUUAAUAGAAAAAUAAGAUGUAGCCGGUGUUGCAAACAGGACAGCCUACUAUAGUCUACACAAUGCAGCCAACUCCGUUGCUGAUAGGCUACUUGCCAGCCACAAUAUCACUGCUUCUAAUAUUACAUGACGGAUUUUAUUUGAUAGUUCAGGUGUACCAUGAAGUAUAACGAACCGAUCAAACAUCACAUAGGCCAUGCCCGUUAAUUCCAUAGGCAGGUCAUUCUUAGAAAAAAAGAUAGGCUAUAAACGGAGAAGGAAAGUAACGCUACGCCAUAUGUCUUAUUUACAUCCUUAUUUACCAGCAAUGUUAGCGCGUUUUCUUUCCACUUACGCACGGCAUCUAGCUAUUCCUUUUAUAGUUAUCGCCUGCUGUGCCUGAACCGGUCUAACACAAUGACGCUUAGACUUGGCCAACGCGGAAACUGCAGACAGCUGAAAGAAGCACCACACCAAAGCUCUCUAUUGCCAGCUUGCGUGAUAUCCACAUAGCGGCUGCCUAUUUCCAUAUCUGCUCGGAAAGAUUCUAACACCCAAGACUAGAAACUUCAACCUGGCAUCCUGCAACUCCCCUGGAACAGGGAAAAUUACUGUCAUAUGCAGUGUCAAUGAACUAUGACCCUGGGGCUUCUCAGGGUUUUGACCAAUGGCCUUUUUUUGGAUUAAAGUGCAAGGUGGUGACAAGCAUUUGUCCUGAGAAAUAGCAGCUCAGGUAAUUUUGCCUCCAUGAAUCAGUGAAAAAUGAAACUUUAUUAUUAUGUUACUCUAGGUUCGUCAUGUUGUUUAGUUUGUUUCUUGUUACGAUUAAUUUUCUUGUCAUGUCUAGUUAUGUUUCGUUACGAUUAUUUUACCUUGUUAUGUUGAGUGGUUAUCGUCUUAGUUCGUUUAGUGUUAUGUUUUGAUUUAUGUUUAUUGUUACGCAGACUGGUCGUUGUUUAAACAUACACUUUUACAUGUCUUUCCGCAAACCUUGCGUUCCGGCUUUCUCUCUCUCUCUUUCUGUCACUCACACCCUAAUUGUUUCUAUUUGUCUAUUUACUAAAACUACGAAUGCUAGAUCAGGAUUGGGUAAAACUAACAGACUAAUCAUGUGUUCAUGUUAUCUUACGUUUCUUGUGCAUGUCAUUUACUAAUUUACUAAUGCUAGGGCAGGAUAGGUUUAUUACUAACGAUUACUAAUUACCUUGUUAAACUUGUCAUCCAUCGCACCUGUUUUCCAUUCCCUUGCUGCUCUCUAACUAAUUGUCUACACCUGCAUUUAUAGCCCAGUCGCACUUCUGUUUGUUGCGAAAUUGUCUGCCUCUUGUCCGUCAAAGCAACGCUUGAGCAUUAUUCCCAUUGAUUACACUUUAAGAUCAAGCCUGUUUAUCGACCACUGUUUAUUGAUUUCUGUUUCGUUGACCAUCGCUUGUUUUUGACCUUGUCCUCGCCUACUGUUUUUGUACCUUUGCCUCGCUGUUUGUUUUAUGGUUUCGACUUCUGCAUCGCCCUCGACUACGACUCUGCCUGCCGCCCGCCUGUACUUCUGCCCCACUGACAGCUCUCCUGCUACCGGACCUCCCUGCACGUCUACCGACUACGAGUUUGCCUCUUCCCUCGGCACCGUGCUUUCUGAUUAUUUAUUGUUUUAUUGGCUGGAUCUACGUGUAUGGACUUUACUUGUUUUGACUACGCUCCUGGGAUUCGUCCCGAAUAAAGCCCUGACGCGACUCUAUUUUACUAUUGUUUCUGAGUCGUGCAUUUUGGGUCCAACCCCCACGCACCCGUCUCAAAUACUAUAUAAUACUAUAACACUGCUGUCAUUAAAUGAUUACUUGCUUUUUUCAUGAUGCCA